CAGUGCCGCGGGAAUACGUAGGGCGCAAGCGUUAUCCGGAAUUAUUGGGCGUAAAGAGCUCGUAGGCGGUUUGUCGCGUCUGCCGUGAAAGUCCGGGGCUCAACCCCGGAUCUGCGGUGGGUACGGGCAGACUAGAGUGAUGUAGGGGAGACUGGAAUUCCUGGUGUAGCGGUGAAAUGCGCAGAUAUCAGGAGGAACACCGAUGGCGAAGGCAGGUCUCUGGGCAUUAACUGACGCUGAGGAGCGAAAGCAUGGGGAGCGAACAGGAUUAGAUACCCCCGUAGUCCCUGUCUCUUAUACC
rnacentral:rRNA from 1 species